CACAUUUCUACAAGAAGAAGACCUAUACAAUACUGCAGAGAUAAAGCAAAAUAAUUAAAAUGAAUUAUGGAUGUAAACAGCUAAGGUGUAUUUGUAAUUUUUUAUACCAUAAUAUGAUAAUAAGUGCUACCUAAUUUACGGACAAAAGCUUAUGUAGUGCCGGGAACCAGUCGUUUGUGUGCAAAGGAACCAACUUCUAUUGGACUACACUUGGAUGUUAGUGGAUGUUAGCCGAGCUCCUCGAGAAGCAGGUCCGUGAAUCUCGUGUAUGUGAGAGUGCAGCCAGACAUCCCUUCCUAGACUAGACGUUGAUGCGAGCGGACGUGUGGAACUGUUGUGAUCAUUAAAGAAGCCGGGAAACGUAUUAUUGAGGAGGUUGUUUAAACAAAAAUCAACACAUUUUGACAGAGACUGUCAUGAAUGUGGUCAGUACAGAGUCGACUUCAAUCGCUGGGGCUGCGACAGCUGCACUUGACACGAGCUUCACUCAAGUUGACUCGCUUUCAGCUGUGUGUCACUGCAGCUGUCACGACAAUGACCAACUCGAGGUGAUGUCAUUAGCAGAGCUGAAGAGAAAGAAGAUAAUGCUUGAAAAUCGAUUGUUGAAAAAAGCUACAAUCACCAUACAUGUGUAAUUUUCAUUUUGAUAGUAAGCUGUUAUUUUAGUUAAUAUCAAAAUCCUUAGUCUAUAGAAAAAUUCAAAACUUUUCAAAAUGGCAUUUGUUGUAAUGAAAAUUUAAUGCAUUUUUUACAAUGAAAACAAUUUUGUUAACAUGAAAUAUAUGCAUUUUGUUUGAAAACACUUCCUAACACAUACAAUUAUAUGUGUUUUGUUCUGAGAAAACUGGGCAUAAUGCAUGAACGUAAAGUGUCGUCCCAGAUUAGCCUGUGCAGUCCGCACAGACUAAUCAGGGACAACAGUUUUCGCCUUAACUUGAUUUUCGGUAAUGAGGGACUUCCUUGAAACUAAAAAUAAUGUUUUGUUUUUUGGAAAUAAAUUAAUUACUAACUGGAAAGCUUUUACAGGUUUCAAACGAAUAUCGCCAUGCAGCACUCCCCGUCUUGUUCAGUUGGCCUAUUCCCCUUUCGACUUUUGAUCUUGUUAUUUUGUGAGCUCUGUGAUAUCAAAUAUACAUUUAAUAAAAUCCAGCAAAAUUAUUUGAGACGCAUUCUGAGA